rnacentral:rRNA from 1 species
GUCGAACGGUGAAGCAGAGCUUGCUCUGUGGAUCAGUGGCGAACGGGUGAGUAACACGUGAGCAACCUGCCCCGGACUCUGGGAUAAGCGCUGGAAACGGCGUCUAAUACUGGAUACGAGCUGCGACCGCAUGGUCAGCAGUUGGAAAGAUUUUUCGGUCUGGGAUGGGCUCACGGCCUAUCAGCUUGUUGGUGAGGUAAUGGCUCACCAAGGCGUCGACGGGUAGCCGGCCUGAGAGGGUGACCGGCCACACUGGGACUGAGACACGGCCCAGACUCCUACGGGAGGCAGCAGUGGGGAAUAUUGCACAAUGGGCGAAAGCCUGAUGCAGCAACGCCGCGUGAGGGAUGACGGCCUUCGGGUUGUAAACCUCUUUUAGCAGGGAAGAAGCGAGAGUGACGGUACCUGCAGAAAAAGCGCCGGCUAACUACGUGCCAGCAGCCGCGGUAAUACGUAGGGCGCAAGCGUUAUCCGGAAUUAUUGGGCGUAAAGAGCUCGUAGGCGGUUUGUCGCGUCUGCUGUGAAAUCCCGAGGCUCAACCUCGGGCCUGCAGUGGGUACGGGCAGACUAGAGUGCGGUAGGGGAGAUUGGAAUUCCUGGUGUAGCGGUGGAAUGCGCAGAUAUCAGGAGGAACACCGAUGGCGAAGGCAGAUCUCUGGGCCGUAACUGACGCUGAGGAGCGAAAGGGUGGGGAGCAAACAGGCUUAGAUACCCUGGUAGUCCACCCCGUAAACGUUGGGAACUAGUUGUGGGGUCCAUUCCACGGAUUCCGUGACGCAGCUAACGCAUUAAGUUCCCCGCCUGGGGAGUACGGCCGCAAGGCUAAAACUCAAAGGAAUUGACGGGGACCCGCACAAGCGGCGGAGCAUGCGGAUUAAUUCGAUGCAACGCGAAGAACCUUACCAAGGCUUGACAUAUACGAGAACGGG